AGGUAGCGCAAUCAAUUGGCUUUUAAUUGGAGUCAGGUAUGAAUGGAUUUACGGAGCUUAGCUGUCUUUUAGUUAAUAUAUUGAAAUUACUAUAUAGGUGAAAAAGCCUAUAGAUAGAAAAAGGACGAGAAGACCCUUAGAGUUUUACUUAAUUUAAGACUUAUAUAUUUCUUAUAAUAGUUUAGUUGGGGCAACAUAGGAGCAUGAGAUGUAUUAAUAACCUCCCAAAAAAGACAAACCGAUUUUUUUAAAAGUGAAUAAACUACCUUAGGGAUAACAGCAUAAUUUUAUUAGUAAGUUUGUGACCUCGAUGUUGGACUAGGAAACUGAUGGGCUAGCCGCCUUUUAGAUGAGNUCUGUUCGAACUUUUUUCUCCU
rnacentral:rRNA from 1 species